UACGUAGGGUGCGAGCGUUGUCCGGAAUUACUGGGCGUAAAGAGCUCGUAGGUGGUUUGUCGCGUUGUUCGUGAAAACUCACAGCUCAACUGUGGGCGUGCGGGCGAUACGGGCAGACUGGAGUACUGCAGGGGAGACUGGAAUUCCUGGUGUAGCGGUGAAAUGCGCAGAUAUCAGGAGGAACACCGAGUGGCGAAGGCAGGGUCUCUGGGCCGAUACUGACGCUGAGGAGCGAAAGCGUGGGGAGCGAACAGG
rnacentral:rRNA from 1 species